rnacentral:rRNA from 1 species
GAUGAACGCUGGCGGCGUGCCUAAUACAUGCAAGUCGAGCGCACGGACGAGAAGCUUGCUUCUCUGAUGUUAGCGGCGGACGGGUGAGUAACACGUGGAUAACCUACCUAUAAGACUGGGAUAACUUCGGGAAACCGGAGCUAAUACCGGAUGAUAUUUUGAACCGCAUGGUUCAAAAGUGAAAGACGGUCUUGCUGUCACUUAUAGAUGGAUCCGCGCUGCAUUAGCUAGUUGGUAAGGUAACGGCUUACCAAGGCAACGAUGCAUAGCCGACCUGAGAGGGUGAUCGGCCACACUGGAACUGAGACACGGUCCAAACUCCUGCGGGAGGCAGCAGUAGGGAAUCUUCCGCAAUGGGCGAAAGCCUGACGGAGCAACGCCGCGUGAGUGAUGAAGGUCUUCGGAUCGUAAAACUCUGUUAUUAGGGAAGAACAUAUGUGUAAGUAACUGUGCACAUCUUGACGGUACCUAAUCAGAAAGCCACGGCUAACUACGUG